rnacentral:rRNA from 1 species
AGCGAACGCCGGCGGUAGGCCUAACACAUGCAAGUCGAACGGCAGCACAGUAAGAGCUUGCUCUUACGGGUGGCGAGUGGCGGACGGGUGAGGAAUACAUCGGAAUCUACUUUUUCGUGGGGGAUAACGUAGGGAAACUUACGCUAAUACCGCAUACGACCUACGGGUGAAAGCAGGGGAUCUUCGGACCUUGCGCGAAUGAAUGAGCCGAUGUCGGAUUAGCUAGUUGGCGGGGUAAAGGCCCACCAAGGCGACGAUCCGUAGCUGGUCUGAGAGGAUGAUCAGCCACACGGGAACUGAGACGCGGUCCAGACUCCUACGGGAGGCAGCAGUGGGGAAUAGUGGACAAUGGGCGCAAACCUGAUCCAGCCAUACGGCGUGGGUGAAGAAGGCCUUCGGGUUGUAAAGCCCUUUUGUUGGGAAAGAAAAGCAGCAGGUUAAUACCCAGCUGUUCUGACGGUACCCAAAGAAUAAGCACCGGCUAACUUCGUG